AUUGAACGCUGGCGGCAGGCCUAACACAUGCAAGUCGAGCGGAUGAAGGGAGCUUGCUCCUGGAUUCAGCGGCGGACGGGUGAGUAAUGCCUAGGAAUCUGCCUGGUAGUGGGGGAUAACGUCCGGAAACGGGCGCUAAUACCGCAUACGUCCUGAGGGAGAAAGUGGGGGAUCUUCGGACCUCACGCUAUCAGAUGAGACUAGGUCGGAUUAGCUAGUUGGUGGGGUAAAGGCCUACCAAGGCGACGAUCCGUAACUGGUCUGAGAGGAUGAUCAGUCACACUGGAACUGAGACACGGUCCAGACUCCUACGGGAGGCAGCAGUAGGGAAUAUUGGACAAUGGGCGAAAGCCUGAUCCAGCCAUGCCGCGUGUGUGAAGAAGGUCUUCGGAUUGUAAAGCACUUUAAGUUGGGAGGAAGAGCAGUAAGUUAAUACCUUGCUGUUUUGACGUUACCAACAGAGUAAGCACCGGCUAACUUCGUG
rnacentral:rRNA from 1 species